rnacentral:ncRNA from 1 species
AAAAUGUCGCCACCGGGUGACGGAACGUAAAAAGCGUUCGCGGGCGUAUCGUAAGGUCUUAGAAGAUACGUAGGGCGGGCGUUUUUUGUU